CGGCUACAUCCCAUUGAAACACAGGUUCCCGUGCGAUCACCGAAGUUAAGCAACGUCCUGGCCUGGUUAGUGACUAGAUGGGUGACCACUUAGGAAUACCAUGUGCUGCAGA